UGCCAGCAGCCGCGGUAAUACGGAGGGGGUUAGCGUUGUUCGGAAUUACUGGGCGUAAAGCGCACGUAGGCGGACUAUUAAGUCAGGGGUGAAAUCCCGGGGCUCAACCCCGGAACUGCCUUUGAUACUGGUAGUCUAGAGUUCGAGAGAGGUGAGUGGAAUUCCGAGUGUAGAGGUGAAAUUCGUAGAUAUUCGGAGGAACGCCAGUGGCGAAGGCGGCUCACUGGCUCGAUACUGACGCUGAGGUGCGAAAGCUAGGGUAGCAAACGGGAUUAGAUA
rnacentral:rRNA from 1 species